AGAGUUUGAUCCUGGCUCAGGAUGAACGUUGGCGGCGUGCCUAACACAUGCAAGUCGAACGAUUGUAGCAAUAUGAUAGUGGCGCACGGGUGAGUAACACGUAGCUUACCUGCCUCAGAGAGUGGGAUAACGUCUCGAAAGAGACGCUAAUACCGCAUAAGCUCACGGUCUGUAGAGGGCUGCGAGAAAAGGGGAAACCCGCUUUGAGAGGGGGCUGCGGCCCAUCAGCUAGUUGGUGAGGUAACGGCUUACCAAGGCAACGACGGGUAGAGGGCCUGAGAGGGUGGUCCUCCACACUGGGACUGAGACACGGCCCAGACUCCUACGGGAGGCAGCAGUGAGGGAUAUUGCACAAUGGGGGAAACCCUGAUGCAGCGACGCCGCGUGGGUGAAGAAGGACUUCGGUUCGUAAAACCCUUUUCUGCGUGACGAGACAAGGACGGUAGCGCAGGAAUAAGUCUCGGCUAACUACGUGCCAGCAGCCGCGGUAAAACGUAGGAGACGAACGUUAUCCGGAGUUACUGGGCGUAAAGGGCGUGCAGGCGGUCUGUUAAGUCUGGCGUGAAAUUUCUCGGCUCAACCGGGAAAGGUCGUUGGAUACUGACGGACUAGAGGACGGUAGAGGCGUGUGGAAUUCCGGGUGUAGUGGU
rnacentral:rRNA from 1 species